rnacentral:rRNA from 1 species
UACGAAGGGGGCUAGCGUUGUUCGGAAUUACUGGGCGUAAAGCGCGCGCAGGCGGUUUUUUAAGUCAGUGGUGAAAGCCCGGAGCUCAACUCCGGAACUGCCAUUGAAACUGUAGAACUUGAGGACGAGAGAGGUGAGUGGAAUUCCCAGUGUAGAGGUGAAAUUCGUAGAUAUUGGGAAGAACACCGGUGGCGAAGGCGGCUCACUGGCUCGUUUCUGACGCUCAGGCGCGACAGCGUGGGGAUCAAACAGG